UACAGAGGUCUCGAGCGUUUGUUCGGAUUCAUUGGGCGUAAAGGGUGCGUAGGUGGCGCUGUAAGUCGGGUGUGAAAUCCUGAGGCUUAACCUCGGAACUGCAUUCGAUACUGCGGUGCUUGAGGACUGGAGAGGAGACUGGAAUUCAUGGUGUAGCAGUGAAAUGCGUAGAGAUCAUGAGGAAGACCAGUGGCGAAGGCGGGUCUCUGGACAGUUCCUGACACUGAGGCACGAAGGCCAGGGGAGCAAACGGG
rnacentral:rRNA from 1 species